UACGUAGGGGGCUACCGUUGUCCGGAUUUAUUGGGCGUAAAGAGCGUGUAGGCGGCCAGGUAGGUCUGGUGUGAAAACUCGAGGCUUAACCUCGAGAUGUCAUCGGAAACCAUCUGGCUAGAGUCCGGAAGAGGAGAGUGGAAUUCCCGGUGUAGCGGUGAAAUGCGCAGAUAUCGGGAAGAACACCCGUGGCUAAGGCGGCUCUCUAGUACGGUACUGACGCUGAGACGCGAAAGCGUGGGGAGCGAACAGG
rnacentral:rRNA from 1 species